rnacentral:rRNA from 1 species
AACGAACGCUGGCGGCAUGCCUAACACAUGCAAGUCGAACGAAGGCUUCGGCCUUAGUGGCGCACGGGUGCGUAACGCGUGGGAAUCUGCCCUUAGGUUCGGAAUAACAGUUAGAAAUGACUGCUAAUACCGGAUGAUGACGUAAGUCCAAAGAUUUAUCGCCUGAGGAUGAGCCCGCGUAGGGUUAGCUAGUUGGUGUGGUAAAGGCGCACCAAGGCGACGAUCCUUAGCUGGUCUGAGAGGAUGAUCAGCCACACUGGGACUGAGACACGGCCCAGACUCCUACGGGAGGCAGCAGUGGGGAAUAUUGGACAAUGGGCGCAAGCCUGAUCCAGCAAUGCCGCGUGAGUGAUGAAGGCCUUAGGGUUGUAAAGCUCUUUUACCCGUGAUGAUAAUGACAGUAGCGGGAGAAUAAGCCCCGGCUAACUCCGUG